rnacentral:rRNA from 1 species
UACACACCGCCCGUCACACCAUGGGAGUUGAUUGCACCAGAAGUAGGUAGCCUAACCGCAAGGGGGGCACUUACCACGGUGUGGUCAAUGACUGGGGUG